rnacentral:rRNA from 1 species
CCUACGGGAUGCACCAGUGGGGAAUAUUGCACAAUGGGCGCAAGCCUGAUGCAGCCAUGCCGCGUGUGUGAAGAAGGCCUUCGGGUUGUAAAGCACUUUCAGCGGGGAGGAAGGCGUUAAGGUUAAUAACCUCAUCGAUUGACGUUACCCGCAGAAGAAGCACCGGCUAACUCCGUGCCAGCAGCCGCGGUAAUACGGAGGGUGCAAGCGUUAAUCGGAAUUACUGGGCGUAAAGCGCACGCAGGCGGUUGAUUAAGUUAGAUGUGAAAUCCCCGGGCUUAACCUGGGAAUGGCAUCUAAGACUGGUCAGCUAGAGUCUUGUAGAGGGGGGUAGAAUUCCAUGUGUAGCGGUGAAAUGCAUAGAGAUGUGGAGGAAUACCGGUGGCGAAGGCGGCCCCCAGGACAAAGACUGACGCUCAGGUGCGAAAGCGUGGGGAGCAAAUAGGAUUAGAUACCCUGGUAGUC